AUCAAAAAUAAAAAUAGUAUUUUCUAAUCUAGGAAGAAAAUAUAAGAAAAUAGGUGAACAUUUAUAUCUAAUGUUAGAAAAAGAAGAAUUAAAAUUAGAAGAUAAAUUAACAGCAAUGGUAAGAAUAGAAAAAGAAAAAGAAGAGAUAGAUAGGAAAAAAGAAAUAGAAAAAAUAAAACAACAAACUACGGAAGAAAUACGAAAAAUAGAAGAAACCAAAAAUAGUAGAAUUGCUGAAUUAGAAAAAGAAUUACAAAUGUUAAAAGAACUGUAUGAACAAAGACAAAAAGAAAAAGA
rnacentral:lncRNA from 1 species